GGCGGCGUGCUUAACACAUGCAAGUCGAGCGGGGUCCAACUUGUCGCAAGACAAGGGAAGACCUAGCGGCGAACGGGUGAGUAACACGUGAGCAACCUGCCCCGAAGACUGGGAUAACACCGGGAAACCGGUGCUAAUACCGGAUGCCCUCAGAGAGUCGCAUGGCUCAUUGAGGAAAUGGAUUCCGCUUCGGGAGGGGCUCGCGGCCUAUCAGCUUGUUGGUGGGGUAACGGCCUACCAAGGCUCCGACGGGUAGCUGGUCUGAGAGGACGACCAGCCACACUGGGACUGAGACACGGCCCAGACUCCUACGGGAGGCAGCAGUGGGGAAUCUUGCGCAAUGGGCGAAAGCCUGACGCAGCAACGCCGCGUGGGGGACGAANGCCUUCGGGUCGUAAACCCCUUUCAGCAGGGACGAAAAUGACGGUACCUGCAGAAGAAGCCCCGGCCAACUACGUGCCAGCAGCCGCGGUAAUACGUAGGGGGCGAGCGUUGUCCGGAUUUAUUGGGCGUAAA
rnacentral:rRNA from 1 species